AACGAACGCUGGCGGCAUGCCUAACACAUGCAAGUCGAACGAGAUCUUCGGAUCUAGUGGCGCACGGGUGCGUAACGCGUGGGAAUCUGCCCUUGGGUUCGGAAUAACAGUGAGAAAUUACUGCUAAUACCGGAUGAUGUCUUCGGACCAAAGAUUUAUCGCCCAGGGAUGAGCCCGCGUAGGAUUAGGUAGUUGGUGGGGUAAUGGCCUACCAAGCCGACGAUCCUUAGCUGGUCUGAGAGGAUGAUCAGCCACACUGGGACUGAGACACGGCCCAGACGCCUACGGGAAGCAGCAGUGGGGAAUAUUGGACAAUGGGCGCAAGCCUGAUCCAGCAAUGCCGCGUGAGUGAUGAAGGCCUUAGGGUUGUAAGGCUCUUUUACCAGGGAUGAUAAUGACAGUACCUGGAGAAUAAGCUCCGGCUAACUCCGUGCCAGCCGCCGCAGUAA
rnacentral:rRNA from 1 species